AUGGCCAUCUUCGACGAGUUCUACGUUGGGUCCAUUGACCUCGGGCGCCUCAACUAUGGGAUCAUUUCGCUCAUCCCCAAAGUGCAUGGGGCUUCUGACAUCUGCCAGUUCCGACCGAUCACGGUAAUCAAUGUGAUCUUCCGGAUUCUGGCAAAAGGGUACGCCAAUAGGGUGACCCUGCUCGCCGGCCAUAUUACCCACCCCAACCAGUCCACCUUCAUUCAAGGGCGGUAUAUCCUGGAUGGGGUGCUAUUACUUCAUGAAGUCCUCCAUGAGGUCCGGUCUAAACACCUCAAGGUGGUCUUCCUGAAGAUCGAUUUCCAUAAGGCGUACGACACUGUUAGUUGGCCAUUCCUUCAGGAAGUUCUGCUCCGGAAGGGCUUCGACGACCGGACCGCCGUGAACAUCAAUGCGGAGAUUGGCCCUUACUUUCCCACCCUUUGUGGGGUUAGACAAGGUGACCCCUUCUCCCCAUUCUUGUUCAACAUGGCGGUGGACGCGCUUGCCGCCAUCCUGGACAAGGCUAAGGCUGUGGGCCAUAUUCGUGGGAUCACCCCCACCUAG
rnacentral:rRNA from 1 species